rnacentral:rRNA from 1 species
UACGUAGGGUGCAAGCGUUAAUCGGAAUUACUGGGCGUAAAGCGUGCGCAGGCGGUUAUGCAAGUCAGAUGUGAAAUCCCCGGGCUCAACCUGGGAACUGCAUUUGUGACUGUAUAGCUAGAGUACGGUAGAGGGGGAUGGAAUUCCGCGUGUAGCAGUGAAAUGCGUAGAUAUGCGGAGGAACACCGAUGGCGAAGGCAAUCCCCUGGACCUGUACUGACGCUCAUGCACGAAAGCGUGGGGAGCAAACAGG